rnacentral:rRNA from 1 species
CAAGUCGAACGAGUCCAGACCUUCGGGUCUGAGGCGAGUGGCGGACGGGUGAGUAACACGUGAGCAAUCUGUCCCUGUGUGGGGGACAACCCGGGGAAACCCGGGCUAAUACCGCAUAGGCAGGACUUCCGAAAGGAGGACCUGGGAAAGAGGCCCUCUUUACAAUGGUCUCAUGCAGGGAGGAGCUCGCGGGCUAUCAGCUAGUUGGUAGUGGUAACGGCCUACCAAGGCGACGACGGCUACGGGGUCUGAGAGGACGACCCCGCACAUUGGAACUGAGACACGGUCCAGACUCCUACGGGAGGCAGCAGUGGGGAAUUUUGGGCAAUGGCCGCAAGGCUGACCCAGCGACGCCGCGUGUGGGAUGACGCCUCUCGGGGUGUAAACCACUGUCAGAGGGGAAGAAUGACGCCUGUGUAAAUAAUGCAGGCGUGUGACGGUACCCUCAAAGGAAGCACCGGCUAACUCCGUGCCAGCAGCCGCGGUAAUACGGAGGGUGCAAGCGUUGUUCGGAUUUACUGGGCGUAAAGCGCGCGCAGGUGGAUGAACAAGUCGGAAGUGAAAUCUUGAGGCUCAACCUCGAGGCUGCUCCCGAAACUGUUCGUCUAGGGACUGGUAGAGGCUGGUAGAAUUCCCGGUGUAGCGGUGGAAUGCGUAGAGAUCGGGAAGAAUACCCGUGGCGAAGGCGGCCAGCUGGGCCAGGUCCGACACUGAGGCGCGAAAGCGUGGGGAGCAAACAGGAUUAGAUACCCUGGUAGUCCACGCCGUAAACGAUGGGCACUAGGCGCUGGUGGGAGCGACCCCUUCAGUGCCGUAGCUAACGCGAUAAGUGCCCCGCCUGGGGAGUACGGCCGCAAGGCUGAAACUCAAAGGAAUUGACGGGGGCCCGCACAAGCGGUGGAGCAUGUGGUUUAUUCGAAGCACGC